rnacentral:rRNA from 1 species
CCUACGGGUGGCUGCAGUGGGGAAUAUUGGACAAUGGGGGCAACCCUGAUCCAGCCAUGCCGCGUGUGUGAAGAAGGCCCUCGGGUUGUAAAGCACUUUCAGUGAGGAAGAACGCCUGGUGGUUAAUACCCAUCAGGAAAGACAUCACUCACAGAAGAAGCACCGGCUAACUCCGUGCCAGCAGCCGCGGUAAUACGGAGGGUGCGAGCGUUAAUCGGAAUUACUGGGCGUAAAGCGCGCGUAGGUGGCUUGAUAAGCCGGUUGUGAAAGCCCCGGGCUCAACCUGGGAACGGCAUCCGGAACUGUCAAGCUAGAGUGCAGGAGAGGAAGGUAGAAUUCCCGGUGUAGCGGUGAAAUGCGUAGAGAUCGGGAGGAAUACCAGUGGCGAAGGCGGCCUUCUGGACUGACACUGACACUGAGGUGUGAAAGCGUGGGUAGCAAACAGGAUUAGAUACCCGGGUAGUC